GGCGCGGUCGGACGAACCGGCCCAUUUUGGCCGGGCCGGUCCGGUUUACCCUUUUUUUUCUUUCUUUUAGGCCUUUUCUUUUUCUGUUUUUCUCAUUUCUUUGAUAUCUUUUGUGUUUGAACUCCAAAUUGGUCCAAAUAAAUUCCAGAAAAUUUGUAAAAUCAUGUUCUACCAUGAUACAACUUUUGGAAGUAGUUUCUCUUCAAAAUAAAAUAUAUAAAAAUACAUUUGCCCUAUAAAUGACUUUAGGGCUAUAUAUCUGUUUGAAUAAAAUACUUUUUCAACUCCAAUUAGUUAACCAAAAAUUAUGGGAUAGCUUAUAUAUGCAUUAAACCCUUUUUAUACAUCAACCCUAUUGGUUUGAAAAUCCAAAGGUUACAGGGAUGUAAACAAAAUCUCUUAAAGCCUUUUGUGAUUCAAAAUUUGAAUUCAAACAUGCAAUUGUGGCAUGAUGCUCAUGGAUGCAAUGCACAUGUAAAGGUUUGAAAUUUUGGGAUGUUACAGACCUAACCCCCUUAAGAUGAAUCUCGUCCUCGAGAUUCGGUGUGGCUAGCAAAGAGGUGUGGGUGGUCUUCUCGAAGAUCAUCUUCGCGUUCCCAAGUGGCUUCUUCUUCUGUGUGAUGGUCCCACUGAACUUUGCAAAACUUGAUGGUCUUGGAUCGGGUCUGUCUCUCAGCUGUAUCUACGAUCCUGACCGGUUUCUCCUCAUAGGUGAGGUCACCCUAUAACUGGACUUCCUCAAGUGGAAUCGUAUCCCUCAGGGGUGUGUCGGCCAUCUCGGGGUGACACUUCUUCAGUUGCGAUACAUGGAAGACAUUGUGGACGUUUGACAGUGCUUCCGGCAAAUCCAACUUGUAGGCUACCUCUCCUUGUCGCGACAAUAUCUUGAAAGGUCCGACGAAUCGGGGUGCUAGUUUCCCUUUUAUACCAAAUCUCUUUACUCCGCGUAUCGGUGAAACUCUGAGAUACGCUCUGUCUUCAGCCUCGUAGAUGACUUCCCUACGUUUAGAAUCUGCGUAGCUUUUCUGCCUUGACCGGGCUACUUUCAGCCGGUCUCGGAUGAGUCUAACUUUUUCCUCGGCAUCCUUGAUCAUAUCCGGGCCGAAUAGGCUACGGUCUCCUACACCAUCCCAUAACAAUGGUGUUAUGCAUUUCCUUCCAUACAAAGCUUCAAACGGUGACAUUCCAAUGCUGGCUUGGAAACUGUUGUUGUAUGAGAAUUCUGCAUACGGCAAAUUGUCAUCCCAACUAGACCCAUAAUCCAGAGCGCAGGCUCUCAACAUGUCCUCAAGAAUCUGAUUUACUCUCUCGGUCUGUCCAUCCGUCUGCGGAUGAAAAGCUGUACUGAAUUCUAGUCUCGUUCCUAGAACCCUUUUUAUACAUCAACCCUAUUGGUUUGAAAAUCCAAAGGUUACAGGGAUGUAAACAAAAUCUCUUAAAGCCUUUUGUGAGUCAAAAUUUGAAUUUAAACAUGCAAUUGUGGCAUGAUGCUCAUGGAUGCAAUGCACAUGUAAAGGUUUGAAAUUUUGGGAUGUUACAG
rnacentral:lncRNA from 1 species